rnacentral:rRNA from 1 species
AUUGAACGCUGGCGGCAGGCCUAACACAUGCAAGUCGAGCGGAUGAAGGGAGCUUGCUCCUGGAUUCAGCGGCGGACGGGUGAGUAAUGCCUAGGAAUCUGCCUGGUAGUGGGGGAUAACGUCCGGAAACGGGCGCUAAUACCGCAUACGUCCUGAGGGAGAAAGUGGGGGAUCUUCGGACCUCACGCUAUCAGAUGAGCCUAGGUCGGAUUAGCUAGUUGGUGGGGUAAAGGCCUACCAAGGCGACGAUCCGUAACUGGUCUGAGAGGAUGAUCAGUCACAAUGGAACUGAGACACGGUCCCGACUCCCACGGGAGGCCGGCGGUGGGAAUUUUUGAAAAUGGGCGAAAGGCUGAUCCAGGCAAGGCGCGGGGUUGAAGGAGGUUUUCGGAUUUGAAAGCCACUUAAGUUGGGAGGAAGGGCAGUAAGUUAAUACCUUGCUGUUUUGACGUUACCAACAGAAUAAGCACCGGCUAACUUCGUG